rnacentral:lncRNA from 1 species
UUCGCACCAAUUCAAUCUUCGUUCGCUCGUCAAUUCACAAGGUCUCCUUCAGAUUAUGACUUCAGAACACCCCCUUCAGAAGGGGUGGCUCGUCAAUUCAAUCUUCGAAGAAAAUAUUUAAUUGAAAAUAUAGUUAUCAUUAGCAUAUUUGGUUUAUUAGAUGGCAUCCAGUUCGAAAUCUUCGUUCGGCUCUUCAUUCGUUCGCAUGAAUGAUUAUGAUACAAAGAUUGAUCGAUCAUUCGCAUGAAUAAUUAUGAUACAAAGAUUGAUCCAUCAAUUUCGUUCAUGAAAUGUUCAUGAUAUCAAUUCACAACGUCCGUCAAUUCACAAGGUCCUUCAGAUUAUCACUUCAUUCGCUCGUCAAUUCACAAGGUCCUUCAGAUUAUCACUUCAUUCGCUCGUCAAUUCACAAGGUCCGUCAAUUCACAAGAUCCCUUCAGAUUAUGACUUUUCACACUUUAUGACUUCCGAAUACCCAAAAUACCCUUUCUUUCCCCAAAUACCCUUUCUUUCCCCUUCAGAUUAUGACUUCACGGAAGUCAGAAUACCCAAAAUACCCUUUCUUCCCCUUCAGAUCAGAUUAUGACUUCAGUUCUGAAGUUCAUGAUAUCAAUUCACAAGGUCCGUCAAUUCAGAUACUUCAUUCGUCCAAAAUACCCAGUUCUUCCCCUUCGUUCUUCCCCUUCAGAUGUUCUUUCCUGGGCGGCUCGUCAAUUCACACCACUUUAUGACUUCAGAAUACCCAAAAUACCCUUUCUCCCCUUUCAGAAGGGGCGCACAAGACUUUUCAUCCUUUGGACCCGAGCAUCAUUGCCGCGCAAAUCCUAAAUUAGAUAAAAUUAUUCCAACAACUAAUCGAUGUGGGACUAAAACGGAUUCUCCAUCUCUAUUUAAAAUACACCCACACCUCCAACCAAAAAUAUGGUUCUCUCUGUCGAGAAUGCAUGUGGCCACA